CAUGAAACUUUCAGUGUUUCUGGCGGAACAGUUUGCACGAAUCUCUCCUUGUGACCCCGUCAAGACACUCAUCUGGCCCAUCUUGAUCAUCCCCACCACAAAAUGAUCAAAAAAUAGCUUCUGGUCGAUCGCAAAGCUCUCCACGAUACCACGUGUCCUCUUGUCCGUGAACAGGUCCUGGUCUGAUGUGAACAGCCCUUGUCGGUUCAUGAGAUCAACGUAGUACUUAUUGUCGAACACGUCAGGGCUCCUUAUGUCAUUCACUUGCGUGUUGCUCGAGUUAGCGGUGGGGCAAGUGCGUUUGAGGUUGUUCGCGAAGGACUUGUUCAUUGUUGGGUCUUGGUUCGGGUAGAGCCGGUCUGUGAAAGACGGGCAAUGCGCGAUUCCGAUGGUG
rnacentral:lncRNA from 1 species